CAUUGUAUUUAAAGGGCGACGUCCAUCAGCUGAUCAGAUAGUGGACCAGGAGAGCUCAGAGGUUCCCAGCGCUCAGUCUGCCCAGCAGCAUCAAACACAGCUGGACUCCAUAUUUAUGCUGCUGGAGGAGAACAUGGG